GCAGCGAAACGCGAUAGUUAAUGUGAAUUGCAGAAUUCAGUGAAUCAUCGAGUCUUUGAACGCACAUUGCGCCCAUUGGUAUUCCAUUGGGCAUGUCUGUUUGAGCGUCAUUACAAACCAUUGACAUCAGUCAGUAUUGGGCCGGCUGCCCGAGCGAGAGCUCGCGCCGGCUUUAAAGUAGUACGCUUUGCCAACCGCCAUUCCAAGCCAAAAACAUAGUAAUCAUAACGCUUGUUGAGGAUGGAUGGACUUCUGGUUCGGCCUGAACAAAACCCACUUGUGGUUUGACCUCAGAUCAGACAAGGAUACCCGCUGAACUUAAGCAUAUCAAUAAGCGGAGGA
rnacentral:rRNA from 1 species